CUCGGCCAAUUAAAUUACGCUGUUUGAUCACAUGACACCGUUAGCCAGCAGUUUGUCUCCUAAAAGAGAGCUGUUUAGAGGAAAACGUUUGACUAACUCAAAGACAAUUUCCACGCCUCCCCUGCCUGACUGCAGAGGCAGUUUUGAAUUUAGGAGCAGCAAGAUGGAAGCGGCAAACCCUGGCGAUUCUCCGAUUAUGCAAGAUGUAAUUAUUCAGUCAGCAAGACACUUGCUGCAGUUACUGACAUCAUCCAACUGAACUGCUGCUGUGAUGAAUCAGAAUACAAGAGAACAGAGUCAAGGUACCAGCUUGGUCAACCCUAAAAGACCAUCUGUUCAUCAAGAAAUGACCAGGUGAAAAAGUCAUAAACUAAACACUCUGCAUGAGCAUGGAAUUUAGGAUGCAACUUUAUAUCUUACCUGCUCUACACUCAGGGCUUGAAUUACAACAACAGUCAAUCACAUAAAAAAA